AUCGCUUCUCGGCCUUUUGGCUAAGAUCAAGUGUAGGAAGUGGGGACCAGGCAUCUUAUUUAUUUUGUUUUGUUUUUUUGUUGUUGUUGUUAAUUCCCAAGUGAUUUUUAUUCAUGGUGAGUUUUGAGAACUAACCACAUUAAGAGCCCUGUUUAAUUUGGCUCUAAAUGUGGUUAGUUCUCAACUCAC